AUAUUUAACAUAUUUUUUCAACUUUGAUAUUUUAAUGAAGUUAAAAUCCUUCUAGAAUGGAGAGAAAAAUCUGUUGACAUUUCUUUGUAUGCCAUAAAAGGUGUUGGUCGAUAUAGACAGCAGGACGGUGGCCAUGGAAGUCGGAAUCCGUUAAGGAGUGUGUAACAACUCACCUGCCGAAUCGACUAGUCCUAAAAAUGGAUGGCGCUCGAGCGAGCCUCUUAUACUUGACUGUUACGGUACAACAAGCCAUUAACGGACAUCAUGUCGUAACAAGUAGGACGGUUGAUAUGGUUGCGUCGAAGGCUAACACGUGAGUGUGGCUUGAGCAGUCAUAUGUACAGAUCUUAGUGGUAGUAGCAACUAUUCAAAUGAGAACUUUGAAGACUGACGUGGAGAAAGGUUCCAUGUGAACAGCUAUUGGACAUGGGUCAGUCAGUCCUAAGAUGCGCUCGAAAGAGGGUUCCGAACGAGGAAUAUCUAUAUUCAUAUCAUAUUUAUAUUCCAUCAAAUCGAAAGGGAAACAAGUUAAUAUUCUUGUACUGAGUGUCGGAGAUUGUUUGAUUUCGUGUCAAACAUAUGUGGUAACACAAACAAGCUCAAAUACAUCACAAGUGGUCCUAGGAAGAGUUUUCUCUUCUUUGUUACUUCAUUAGACGACCUGGAAUCAGUUCAACUGGAGAUAGGGUUCAAAUGAAGGUAAAGAGUAGCCGUUCUUGCUACUUCCUCGGUGCAUCAUUUGUGAUCCUUGAAAAUUUGAGCGAGAUAUUCAAUUUCGCACUUAUCUGUACUCUAAACCGCAUCAGGUCUCCAAGGUGAAAAGCCUCUAGUCAAUUAGAACAAGGUAGCACAAGGGAAGUCGGCAAAAUCGAUCGGCAACUUCGGGAUAACGAUUGGCUCUAAGUGCUAGGGUGUUCGGGCUUGAUGAUAAAGCAGUAGACUUGCUAUUGGAGCUGAGCUUUCGGAUGCAGCAAUGUGUCUGAUCGUUCGGACUAGUGGCUUGUCUUGCUGUGGAAUCGUUUUGCUACGGUAUGCGGUUCGCUUGCGGGCCGUAUUACUUCGGACAUCGUUUAAUAGCAAACUUAGAACUCGCUGCGUCUAGGGGAAUCCGACUGUCUAAUUAAAACAGAGCUUUGCGAUUGGCCGGAAAACUUGGUGUUGACGCAAAGUGAUUUCUGCCCAGUGCUCUGAAUGUUAACGUGAAGAAAUUCAAAUAAGCGCGGGUAAACGGCGGGAGUAACUAUGACUCUCUUCUGGUAGCCAAAUGCCUCGUCAUCUAAUUAGUGACGCGCAUGAAUGGAUUAACGAGAUUCCCACUGUCCCUGUCUACUAUCUAGCGAAACCGCAGCCAAGGGAACGGGCUUGGACUUCAAUGCGGGGAAAGAAGACCCUGUUGAGCUUGACUCUAAUCUGUCUUCGUAAAGAGACUUGAAAAGUGUAGCGUAGAUGGGAGUGGCAACACGUCAAUGAAACACCAUUAUUUUCAUUGUUUCUUUACUUACUUGGUUAUACAGAGAUUGGAUUUUACAUCCAGUGUUUGAGUGACAAACGUCGAUACUUGUAUCAACGCGAUCUGCUUCAAGGAAAGAGACAGGUGGGGAGUUUGGCUGGGGCGGUACAUCUAUCAAAUGUUAACGUAGGUGUCCAAAAGUUGACUCAGUGCGGACAGAAACCACACAUUGAGUAAAAGGGCAUAAGUCAGCUUGAUUUAGAUUUUCAGUACGAAUACAGACGGAGAAAUCCGGGCCUAUCGAUCCUUUUGAUUUAACGAGUUUUUUGCAAGAGGURACWCACUGCAUUACGGCUGAUGCACAUGGACUCAUGGAACCGGUGACAUCAAUCACAGCUAAUACAUAUGUCCAGUUGUUUCGAGUGAACACCUCUGUGAUUGUUCUCUCGUCAUUCGGUCUUUCACACAUCUCACCUGUGUAGGCGU
rnacentral:rRNA from 1 species